rnacentral:lncRNA from 1 species
GUCAACUUUCGGUUUCUUUAUCCUUUAUUGCAUGGCCUAUCUUCUUCGAGUACAACACGUGUUCAAAUACACAUUCUUUCUUAGAACGUCUACAGAUUUCCUCACCUUCAUCGUGUCUUGCUACGCUCAUCAACAAGACAAUAUCUGAGUCUGUGUCACACGCGUCAUGUGCAAGAUUUGCUUCAUCAUUUUUCGUCUUCUUCGCAUUCUCAUUAUGCCAACACUCAGAUGAGUAAUGCCCGUAUUUGUUGCAUGUGUAACACUGGACACUUCUUUUAUCGUAAUUCUUUCUACCUCUUCCUCUGGACUUUCUUCCUCCUCUGUUGUUUUCCUCAUUUUGUUCACUUGCAUCGUCUUCACCAAUUUGUUCAAAGGGUUUUGUACCUCUACCAUCCGUUCGGCCACCGCGUGUCCAUCCUCUUCCUUUUCCACUCCUCGGCCUCUGAGGCUUUAUUUACUUUUGGCCUGCAACGCCUGAAUAGAGUCUUGCAUCACACCACUUUCUGCAUUUUUCCUUUCAAUUAAUCGCUGCUCAUACGCUUCAAGGGAGUUUUGCAGUUCUUCCACCUUCAUCGUCUCAAGAUCUUUGUUUUCUUCUAUAGCUACCGUAAUAUGAUCAUACUGGGGUGUCAAACUCCUGAGAUUUUUUGCCACAAUCUUCUUGCCUUUCACAAUCUUGCCACACGAUCUCAUGGCAUUCACCAAGACUUGCAUCCUCCCGAUGUACUCCACUACCGUUUCCUACUCCCCCAUGCAUUCAUAUUGCCUUUGUAGGGACUACAGACAAACCUUCU